rnacentral:lncRNA from 1 species
GCCGUUGACAGAAUGCAGGCGGGAAGCUUCAGUUUGGGUAGAGAUGUAGCAUCAAACAUUCACGGAUGUCCAGGGAGCACGGGCACACAGGCUGCUGCUGGCCAGAGACUAUUAUGAGCACAAUACACUAGUCAUGUUGGAGAUAACAGCCUGACCUCAGCGUGGCUGCAAAAUGAAGCCACGUUUGGCUUUCCUAAGCCAUCAGGAGGCUGCUCACAGCGCUGCUGGACUCUUUAAGCCCUGAGGUCAUGUGAAAAGAAGUUUGCCCUGUGUCCUUCUGUCUCCUGUUGGCUGUCCACAAGAUGGAGAAGGCGGAAGCAACCUGAGGCGUCCUCUUUGUCUGUAAAGAUAGAGAGUCCAUUGUGGAAGGGGGAGAUACAGGAACUAUAUAGGCAGGCCCUACCGGCCUGCAUCUCUUAUCUCCAGAAUUCUUUUACAGAAAAGAAAAAAAUAAACUUUUAUCUGGCUUAAGCCAC